UGAAAUAGUGAAAGAGGUGUUCAAUAUAAAACACAUUCUUUCAAAUCAAGAUGAGUCGGAAAACCAACUGGGCGACUCACUGAGAAGAUUGGAGUCGAUGGCAUUGUCUAUUGAAAUCCUAAAGGAAACUAUGAUUGGCAGAAAUGUCAAAUGCUUGCAGAAGCACAAGU